rnacentral:rRNA from 1 species
GACGAACCGUGCAAACGUUAUUCGGAAUCACUGGGCAUAAAGGGCGCGUAGGCGGCUCCAAAAGUCAGGGGUGAAAUCCGGCAGCUUAACUGUCGCAGUGCCUUUGAUACUGUGGAGCUAGAGGGAGGUAGGGGUCUGUGGAACUUCCGGUGGAGCGGUGAAAUGCGUUGAUAUCGGAAGGAACGCCGGUGGCGAAAGCGACGGACUGGAUCUCUUCUGACGCUGAGGCGCGAAAGCGUGGGGAGCAAACAGG